CAGAAGAUUAGCAUGGUCCCUGUGCAAGGAUGACACGCAAAAUCGAAGAGAAGCAAUACUUUUUU